GCGCGUUUGACAAGCACAUCGGUGAUAUGAAGGGUAUCAUCCGCUGACUCUUAAUCAGCGGGUCGGGGGUUCGAAACCCUCACGGCGCA
rnacentral:tRNA from 1 species